AUUGAACGCUGGCGGCAGGCCUAACACAUGCAAGUCGAGCGGUAGAGAGGUGCUUGCACCUCUUGAGAGCGGCGGACGGGUGAGUAAUGCCUAGGAAUCUGCCUGGCAGUGGGGGAUAACGCUCGGAAACGGACGCUAAUACCGCAUACGUCCUACGGGAGAAAGCAGGGGACCUUCGGGCCUUGCGCUAUCAGAUGAGCCUAGGUCGGAUUAGCUAGUUGGUGAGGUAAUGGCUCACCAAGGCGACGAUCCGUAACUGGUCUGAGAGGAUGAUCAGUCACACUGGAACUGAGACACGGUCCAGACUCCUACGGGAGGCAGCAGUGGGGAAUAUUGGACAAUGGGCGAAAGCCUGAUCCAGCCAUGCCGCGUGUGUGAAGAAGGUCUUCGGAUUGUAAAGCACUUUAAGUUGGGAGGAAGGGUCGUUACCUAAUACGUGGCGAUUUUGACGUUACCGACAGAAUAAGCACCGGCUAACUCUGUGCCAGCCGCCGCCGUAAAAC
rnacentral:rRNA from 1 species